UGGGGAAUAUUGGACAAUGGGCGCAAGCCUGAUCCAGCCAUGCCGCGUGAGUGAUGAAGGCCUUAGGGUUGUAAAGCUCUUUCGGCGGGGACGAUAAUGACGGUACCCGCAGAAGAAGCCCCGGCUAACUUCGUGCCAGCAGCCGCGGUAAUACGAAGGGGGCUAGCGUUGCUCGGAAUCACUGGGCGUAAAGGGCGCGUAGGCGGACAUUUAAGUCGGGGGUGAAAGCCCAGGGCUCAACCCUGGAAUUGCCUCCGAUACUGGGUGUCUCGAGACCGGAAGAGGUGAGUGGAACUGCGAGUGUAGAGGUGAAAUUCGUAGAUAUUCGCAAGAACACCAGUGGCGAAGGCGGCUCACUGGUCCGGUUCUGACGCUGAGGCGCGAAAGCGUGGGGAGCAAACAGGAUUAGAUACCCUGGUAGUCCACGCCGUAAACGAUGGAUGCUAGCCGUUGGCAGGCUUGCCUGUCAGUGGCGCAGCUAACGCUUUAAGCAUCCCGCCUGGGGAGUACGGCCGCAAGGUUAAAACUUAAAGGAAUUGACGGGGUCAUAGCUGUUUCCU
rnacentral:rRNA from 1 species